rnacentral:rRNA from 1 species
AGUUUGAUCAUGGCUCAGGACAAACGCUGGCGGGGUGCAUGAGACAUGCAAGUCGAACGGGGUUCAUCGGGCUUGCUCGAUGAACCUAGUGGCGGACGGCUGAGUAACGCGUAGGUGACCUACCCGGAAGUGGGGAAUAACUGCCCGAAAGGGUGGCUAAUACCGCAUGUGGUCGACGAUUCGCUUCGUCGUCCAAAGCCGCAAGGCGCUUCCGGCGGGGCCUGCGUCCGAUUAGCUAGUUGGUGGGGUAACGGCUCACCAAGGCGACGAUCGGUAGCUGGUCUGAGAGGAUGAUCAGCCAGACUGGGACUGAGACACGGCCCAGACUCCUACGGGAGGCAGCAGUCGGGAAUUUUGCCCAAUGGACGAAAGUCUGAGGCAGCAACUCCGCGUGAGGGACGAAGGCCUUCGGGUCGUAAACCUCUUUUCUCAGGGAAGAUACAAGACGGUACCUGAGGAAUAAGCCACGGCUAACUACGUGCCAGCAGCCGCGGUAAUACGUAGGUGGCGAGCGUUGUCCGGAUUUACUGGGCGUAAAGCGCGCGCAGGCGGCUGGUCAAGUCCGAUGUGAAAGCUCCCGGCUCAACUGGGAAAAUGCAUCGGAAACUGACUGGCUUGAAGGUGGGAGAGGGUAGUGGAAUUCCCGGUGUAGUGGUGAAAUGCGUAGAUAUCGG